AUGUGGGAAGAUCUUUGGUAUUCUAGGUUCUGGGCUAAUGAAAGCUUGCUGGACAUAGUCAGGUAUUUCAAGAUGGUGGCCAUUCAGAGGGUCCUUUGGUCCUUACUUGCUGGGGUUUUCUGUUGCCCUGGUGACAUCUCAGUCUUGGCUCUCUCAUUACAUGAUGAAGACAUUGGUGGUGACAAUGGAAAGGAUGAGAAGAUGAAAGAGGUCAUACCAUAUCUGGUUUUGUGCAGCAGAACUGAAGCUCAAGUAUUGAGCGCUGUGAUUUGCCUUUGUGCAGCCCUUUGUGUUGUGAGAUGACCAGAUGACAUAUUCGUAUAUUGAUGAUUUUGAAUGUGUGCAUGGCUGAGAAGAUCAUACCAAUUAAUUUUCAUGCAGAAGUCAAGGUGAGAACUGCUUUGGAUUGUGGCAGUUGAAACUGAAAAACUAGGGGCUGAUUAUGGCUUUUUCUGAAAUCACCAAGAAGCCUCCAAGAAGCAAUAGUUAUAUCUUAUUUCUCAUCUGACUCUUCAAAUGACCCCAUUCACAAAAGGGCUUCUCUACUUAAUCUACCCUAUCUCUCCAAUUGUCUAAAAUCCUACUUCACUUUUUAGCUAGAAUUAUGGGCCACAGGCUCUAAAAGGAAUUUUAUAGAUCAUUUGGUCCAUCUUAUUUUACUGAUGAGGAAAAACCAAGAUUCUAGGACAAAGACUAGCAUCCAUGUAUUCCAAGUCUGCCUUCCAUACCCUGUUUCAGAAUCAUGUGAUGUUUGAUGUUGCUAAAUGGAAUGCUUUUUACCUUGGGCUUUUCUAUAUCCCCCAGCAUGCCUUGCAGAGGGCUCAUCCAUAGCCAAUCAGCCGUUGACUGUUAAUGGCCACCUGGAGUGCUGUGCUGAGGAUCGGAUCUUCUCAUGGCUGGCCCUGUCUCAUUGGUCAAGUUUCUCCCAAAUGGUGACUGCUACAGAGAGGACAUUAACCACCCUAGCUAAAGUGACAUCCCUCCCCCACACUCUAGGCCAUACUCUAGCUCCUUUCCUUGCUUGACUUUCUAGCACCUCUCAUUAUCUGAAAUGAUCUUUCUUUCCUGUGUGUUGUCUCUUCUUCUAGAGUGAGCUCCAAGAGGACAAGGACUUUGUCUCUCUUAUCCACUACGAUGUCUCUGUGCUUAUUAGAGAGCUGACAUGUAGGAAAAAACUCAAUAAAUAAAUAAAAAAAAAAUGUGGAAUUGAUGGC
rnacentral:lncRNA from 1 species